rnacentral:rRNA from 1 species
AUGAACGCUGGCGGCGUGCCUAAUACAUGCAAGUCGAGCGGAAAGGUUCUGCACUUAUUAUUUGAGUAGGUAAGUCUUAUAGAUACUACCUAAAAACGUAAUCGCUAGGCUAGUGAAUACGGUCGAAUAAUGGGGUGUAGAAUACUCGAGCGGCGGACGGCUGAGUAACACGUAGGAACGUACCCCAAAGUGAGGCAUAAGCACCAGAAAUGGUGUCUAAUACCGCAUGUGCUCUAAGGAGUAAAGCUUCGGCGCUUUGGGGAACGGCCUGCGCAUGAUUAGCUUGUUGGUGAGGUAAAAGCUCACCAAGGCGACGAUCAUUAGCUGGUCUGAGAGGAUGACCAGCCAGACUGGGACUGAGAACGGCCCAGACUCCUACGGGAGGCAGCAGUAGGGAAUUUUCCAC